rnacentral:rRNA from 1 species
GACAGAGGGUGCAAACGUUGUUCGGAAUUACUGGGCGUAAAGCGUGCGUAGGCGGUUCGUUAAGUUCGUUGUGAAAGCCCCGGGCUCAACCUGGGAAUGGCAAUGGAAACUGGCGGGCUUGAGUAUGGCAGAGGGGGGUGGAAUUCCGCGUGUAGCAGUGAAAUGCGUAGAGAUGCGGAGGAACACCGAUGGCGAAGGCAGCCCCCUGGACCAAUACUGACGCUCAGGCACGAAAGCGUGGGGAGUAAACAGG